rnacentral:lncRNA from 10 species
UUUCUCCCAUCACGCUCAGGUGGGACCAUCCAGUUGCAGGAAAACAAGCUUAACACGCCCACUGAUUCUACAUUAUGCUCCUACCUCCCGGCAGCCUCUCCAGGCCCAGAACUUUCUCCAGUCAGCCUCCGCAGACCAAGCUCAUGACUCACAAUGGCCUAUUUAGGCCCAUACCCUACCUCACGGCAGUCUCCGCAGAUGAGGCUACUGCCUCACAACAGCCUCCACAGGCACAGCUCCACCGUUACAAUGGCCUCUUUAGACCCAGCUCCUGCCUCCCAGCCUUCUCUCCAGGCC